GAGAUGUGGCAGGAGCUCUGUGUUGUAAAGAGUCUAAAGGCUCUUUAGGAAGAACAGGAAGGGAAUUCAAGGAAGCUGGGUGCUAUGUGAAGAAGCAGCCUCAAUGUAUGGAACUCUUUUGGAACAGAAGAUAGGGUGACUGAGGGCUUGUGGGUCAUGAUCAGAGAAGAGGCUGGUAAGAGCAGUGUUGUGGUGGCAAUCUACUACAAAUCAUGCGGUCAAUAUUAGGAAAUGGAUGAAGUCUUCUUUAAGCAACUCAAGGAAGUAAUCAGAUCACUGACCUUGGUUCUUAUGGAUUACCACCCUAGCACUCGAAGAUUCUGCUGAAAAGUUUCUGAAGAUCUUGGUGGGCAGUAGACUGAGCAUACUGGAGUUAUAAGCAGGAGUGCAGCUCAUAGAUCAAAGGGUGAUAACUCCCCUGUGUUUGCCACUUGUGAGACUGCAUCUGUAAUACUGCCUUCAGUUUUGAGUUCCCCAGUACAAGGAAGAUGCUGGUAAAAUUGAGAAAGUCUAGCAGAGAGCUACCAGGAUGGUCAGAAGACUUGAACACAUGCCGCAUCAGGAGAACCUGAAGGAACUGUGCUUCUUUAGAGAGCAAGGUUAUUUAGAGGAAGUGUGGGGAACCUAGUAGCAGCUUUCUGAUGCCUAAGAGAAGGUUUCUAGGAAGAUAGAGACAGUUUCUUUACUAAGGAGCACAGUGGAAGAACGAGAGCCAUAAAUUGAAACAGGGUAGGUUAUAGCUGCAAAUAAGGGGGAAAAUGUUCCACUGUAAGGAUAAUUAAACAUGAGAACCGGGGUCCGAAGAAAAUACAGAAUCUAUCCUUGAAGGUUUUCAUGACUCAGUUAGACAAAGCCUAGAGCAACCUCAACUGAUUGUGAUGUUGACCCUCCUUUGAGCAGGGUGUUGGACUGGAGGCCUCUUGAGGUUACUUCCAGCUGGAAUGAUAUGAAAUUCUACUGCAUGUGGGACAUACAUGGUGUAGAAACCACAAGAGACUCUAGGUCUUCUGGACUGAUGGAUAUGGACUGCAAGAAAAACACAAGGUCUAACCUUCAGUUUUGGGUGAAGGAUCCAAAACCUUCCAAGAGCCCUAAAAUGACCAGCUAUUAUCUGAGUGGAAGCUAUACUGCUGAAUGCAGCAGGAAAAGUGCAACAUUUACAGAGAGGAGGGAGUGAACACGGUGGGGUGUGUUUGGGAGCCAUCCUGACGGAGAGGAAUUAAAUAAACUCACUCAUUUUGUGGUAUGAAUUUCCACAGUAGGAAAGUAUGGCUUACUUCUGAAUAUCAGUUUCUGAAAGAAAGGGCUUGUGGAAGGAUAGAUGUAUUGCUUCUACACUUGCUGGUGUCUGAGCAUGUGUGGAGUCUUCCUUGACAUCAGCAAAUAAAAUUGUUUCUCGCUGUUCAACAAUAAAUGUUCAAGUAACCCCAUUAUUGCCACUUCAGUGUUCUGUAAAUUGGACACGAUCAACACAUGCAGUGUAACCUUUCUGAAAGAAAUAUCGAUGUGGUCCAGCUACAGAAGACAUUGUAUAGCAAAACCAAAUUGGGAUCAAUAGAAAAUCCAGAUUUUCAAACGCAUUUAUGUCAGGAGUUGCUAAGCCUGGCAGGUUGCAGAUCAGCAGCACACUUGUUGGCCACAUCAGUCUUCAUAAGAGUGACAGGUUUGACUAGAUUCUUAGAGACAGGCUGAUUCAGAAAUUCAGUCAAAAUAAGAUCUUUCUGCCAAUUUGCAAUAUCACAUUCACAAUCCAUUCCAGACUCAUCAAAGGUAACGAAAAAAGGACUUAAUAUUUUAAUCCCCUCUGAGAAAAUGAAUAAGGAAAUGAUGUCUGCAAAAAGUGUCAUAUUUUUUCUUGAAAAACAAGAGUGGAGAACUAUUAGUGAAGCUGACUACCAUGAAUAUUGUGUGUCAGACCUUUCAAAUCCCAGGCAAUUGGCAUGCAAGGGAAUUACUGUCAAAAUUCAAGGGCAAGUGAAAGGAUAAAACAAAUCUAUUUGGUAAAGUUUCUGGUUUAGACAAGUCCAAUUUGUUUAUACUUGUUCUUCACUUCUGUAUCACAUUCAUAAAGUUGUCAUUUGUAAAGGUUUUUAAAUGUUCCUUCAAAGACACACUUUUUUCUUUCUUUCUUUCUUUUUCCUUGUCUUCCUUAAGUCUUUCUUGUUAUCCUGAUUCAUUGUGAUGCUAUUGGGGGUCAGAGGAAUGGGAAUUUUGCUCUGGUCACUGCGCAGUCCACACCAAGCAAAUUGCCAAGGAAACCAUGGUUAAUUUAUAAGAGGUUUUAAUGAUAACUUUUCUCUGCUUUUCCACCUCUUUCAGUAUAGACUUGAAAAGUUUACUUGAAAUUCAGAAUGCUGCAGCUAAGGAAUGAAUUACAGUGGAAUGGUUGCUGGAAGUUGUCCAGGAGAAGUAUAACCAAAAUCUCGUAUGUAAUCCUCAUCAGUUUAAAAUUUGUGCAGUUCUAGAGCUGUGUAGAGUCACAUGGAGACACAAACAGUAACCAAAUACCAAGUGUUGUAAUGAAGAUCCUUUACCUUUCUGCAAGCUUGCAAUUGCAUCUUUGAGAGCUUUGAUCACAGGGAACUUGCAUCUAAGCAUGCCUGUCUAGCACUUAGUUGUCCAGGCCAUGUUACUCUACCUGAUGUACAAAACUGUCACAGAAAAUAGUGGCAGAAUGCUUAGCUUCAGUCUCUCUGCUUCUGUGACUUCAGCAAGCUUAUCCUUCUUCAGCUUGCAAAUUAACAGGCCUGAUUCUCCACUCAACCUGUAGCGGAUUUCCUAAAAGGCACCAUCAACAGAGCUGGCUUCUUCCUUCUUUAUGGACCAAAGUACAUUCUAAACUAACUCCCUGAAUGUCACUCAAGGACUGAUACUGAUUGGAUC